rnacentral:sRNA from 1 species
GCUUCGAGGCGACCUGGCCGCCGGCCGCUCCUCCGCGCGCUGUUCCGCACUUGCUGCCCUCGCCCGGCCCGGGGCGCCGCUGCCAUGCGGCUGGCGCUGCUCUGGGCCCUGGGGCUCCUGGGCGCGGGCAGCCCUCUGCCUUCCUGGCCGCUCCCAAAUAUAGGUGGCACCGAGGAGCAGCAGGCAGAGUCAGAGAAGGCCCCGAGGGAGCCCUUGGAGCCCCAGGUCCUUCAGGACCUCAAAAAGGUGCUUCAGACCAGUCUGCCUGAGCCCCUGAGGAUCAAGUUGGAGCUGGACGGUGACAGUCAUAUCCUGGAGCUGCUACAGAAUAGAGAGUUGGUCCCAGGCCGUCCAACCCUGGUGUGGUACCAGCCCGAUGGCACUCGGGUGGUCAGUGAGGGACACACUCUGCUAGACUCCUCGGUUCCAGUCCUGGUCUGCUCUCUGAGACAGCACUAAUGUUGUUCCUGUGCUGCA